AUUUUUGGUUACCCGCUCGUUACUCCCUCUUCUUCUCAUCUCCAUCGCACGCCCUAAAUAACCCAAAUAAAAGUUUGUACUUAAUUCUUUUUCCCUUUUAAUCUCAAAAUUCCAUGAGUUCCUUCGUCCCAACAUCUCGUAAUACCGUUCAAAUCCCUAAACCUUUUCUUUUUCUCUCCUUGAAUUUAUAUAUAUAUGCAUAUUCAAGAACACCAGAAAAUUUAUCAAAAGUGGUUCAACUUUGCUGAUUCAGAUAAUGAUGGACGCAUUACUGGAAAUGAUGCAAUCAAGUUUUUUGGUAUGUCAAAUUUAUCGCGACCAGAUCUCAAACAGGUGUGGGCAACUACUGAUUCUAAGAGAUAGGGAUUUCUUAGUUUCAAAGAACUUAUUUUUGCUAUGCAGCUGGUUUCGCUGGCUCAAGAAGGUCAUCAAAUAUCACAUGAUUUCCUGAAUGGUGAUGGUAUUAUGAUUUAGCAUGUCCCUCUUUCUGAAUUGCAUGGUUUGAAUGUUUAUUUCAUUCUGAAAACUUUUGAGUAGACUUUGAGAAUAUUAGACCUCCUGUAAUGGAAGGCUUAGAUACAUUAAUCAUGAGAAAUAAACAAUCUUCAAAGUCAAGUAGCCUUGAAAGCAAUGGUAUGACUUUCUUGUUGUAACCUUUGAUGUUUACUCCGAUUUCACUAUCAUAUGUUAUUUUACAAGUUGGGGGCUUGCAGGUAGUUCUUCAAAUCAAAGAAGGUUUGUUUUGUCAUUUUAUAGUUGAUCUUCCUUUGCUGCUGAUACUCUUGUUACUACCAUUUUAGUCUAGGUAUAGGGUUUAGGGUUAGAAAUAAUUCCUUUAUUUAUAUCAAAUUCAUAUUUGUCUCUUUAUUUUACUUCCAUAACACUUACGUUUUUUAGCUUUGGUAUUUUUGUUGUUAAUGAUGGUAAUAUCUGUCUAAUUCCUUUACUUGAUCCUGUUUUAGUGUGUUUUUAUUUAUCUGCAUCCUUAGCAUGUGUAACUAAUCCUUUCUUGUGUAGAACAGAUAUCUUUGUCCUCUGUGACUUCAAUUAUAGACGGCUUAAAGAGAUUGUAUCUUCAGAAGUUGAAGCCUUUAGAAGUUACAUAUCAUUUUAAUGAUUUUGUAUCCCCAUUGUUGAUCAUGAAGAACAAUAUUUCCCAUGGGGACAUAGAAGAAGUUUAAUCAAUUUGCUUGCAAAAAACUCUUCAAGGUCUAUCUCUUUCAUCUUCUUAAUUAAUUGUUAAUCUUCCCAAUGGCCGCCUACCAAAGAAAACGAAGUUUUGCCAAUCAAACUAGGAGGAACUGAGGUAUCAACUAUUUGCAGUUGUGAAACAUUCCGGAUUCAGACCUACUUCUGGACACUAUGUUUGCUACAUUCGAUCCUCUCCUAAUAUGUGGCAUAAGAUGAAUGAUUCAAGGGUUACUUGUGUUGAAGAAGUUGUGCUGUCCCAGGAAGCCUACAUUUUGCUCUAUGCUAAACAGGGUAUACCUUGGUUUUCAACUGCAAUAGAAGUGCAAAAGCCUUGUGCAGACCCUGGAAUUUCUGAUUCUUCACCAAAGUCCUAGAUGACAUAGACUUUGCCUCCAAUCUUGAGGUGGAAAAGAGUGCCAAUUGCAGCGCCAAUGAAACUAAAGAUGUUGCUGAUAGAGCUUCAACUCAAUCCUCUUGUGAUGUGUAUAGUCAUAGGCAGGUUCAACUAGUCAGUUUAUUUCUCAUAUGUAUUAUUUAUUUUAGUUAUGAUUUUAAAUUUUUAUUUUAAUAUUUAUGACAACUUGAGUUCUAACUUUUGAAUUUUAA